rnacentral:rRNA from 1 species
AUAUAGGUCAAGCUACAAAGGGCGCAUGGUGAAUGCCUUGGCAUCAGGAGCCGAUGAAGGACGUGAUAAGCUGCGAUAAGCUUCGGGUAGGCGCACAUAGCCUGAGAUCCGAAGAUCUCCGAAUGAGGAAACUCACAUGGGAAACCCCAUGUAUCAUUAAGUGAAUACAUAGCUUAAUGAAGGUAACCCAGGGAACUGAAACAUCUAAGUACCUGGAGGAAGAGAAAGAAAAAUCGAUUUUCUUAGUAGCGGCGAGCGAAAGGGAAAGAGCCCAAACCGGAAACUUGUUUCCGGGGUUGUGGACAUAGCAUAAAAGUGGAGGCUAUUGUAACUGAAGAGAACUGGAAAGUUCCACCGUAGAAGGUAAUAGUCCUGUAAGUGAAACGAGAAGACCACGAGUUAUGAUCCAGAGUACCACGAGACACGUGAAACCUUGUGGGAAGCAGGGAGGACCACCUCCCAAGGCUAAAUACUACCUGAUGACCGAUAGUGAAGCAGUACCGUGAGGGAAAGGUGAAAAGAACCCCGGGAGGGGAGUGAAAUAGAACCUGAAACCGUGUGCCUACAACCGCUCAGAGCCCCUUAUGAGGGUGAUGAGGUGCUUUUUGUAGAACGAGCCAACGAGUUACGGUAUGUAGCAAGGUUAAGUACUUAAGGUACGGAGCCGAAGGGAAACCGAGUCUGAAUAGGGCGACUAGUUGCAUGCCGUAGACCCGAAACCGGGUGACCUAUCCAUGGCCAGGUUGAAGCGAGGGUAAAACCUCGUGGAGGACCGAACCACGUUGCUGUUGAAAAAGCAUGGGAUGAGCUGUGGAUAGCGGAGAAAUUCCAAUCGAACCCGGAGAUAGCUGGUUCUCUCCGAAAUAGCUUUAGGGCUAGCGUCGAGUAUGAGUAGUGGAGGUAGAGCACUGAAUGGGCUAGGGGGCAUAGCGCUUACCGAACCUUAUCAAACUCCGAAUGCCACAUACUUUGAGCUCGGCAGUCAGACUACGAAUGAUAAGAUCCGUGGUCAAAAGGGAAACAGCCCAGAUCGUCAGCUAAGGUCCCAAAGUGUAAGUUAAGUGGGAAAGGAUGUGAGAUUUCUAAGACAACUAGGAUGUUGGCUUAGAAGCAGCCAUUCAUUAAAAGAGUGCGUAAUAGCUCACUAGUCGAGAGAUCUUGCGCCGAAAAUGUAACGGGGCUAAACUUACCACCGAAGCUACGGGCUUGAAC